rnacentral:rRNA from 1 species
GAUGAACGCUGGCGGCGUGCCUAACACAUGCAAGUCGAGCGGAGAUAGAGAGAGUACUUGUACAAUUUCUAUUUCAGCGGCGGACGGGUGAGUAACACGUGAGUAACCUGCCUUUCACUGGGGAAUAACAUCGAGAAAUCGGUGCUAAUACCGCAUAAUGUCAUUAGCCCGCAUGGGCGUAUGACCAAAGGAGUAAUCCGGUGAAAGAUGGACUCGCGUCCGAUUAGAUAGUUGGUGAGGUAAUGGCCCACCAAGUCUGCGAUCGGUAGCCGAACUGAGAGGUUGAUCGGCCACAUUGGGACUGAGACACGGGCCCAGACUCCUACGGGAGGCAGCAGUGGGGAAUAUUGGGCAAUGGGCGAAAGCCUGACCCAGCAACGCCGCGUG